rnacentral:rRNA from 1 species
UACAGAGGUCCCAAGCGUUACUGAGAAUCACUGGGCGUAAAGGGUGCGUAGGUGGCGAGGUAAGUCGGAUGUGAAAGCUCGGAGCUCAACUCCGAAAUGGCAUUGGAAACUACCUUGCUCGAGGGUUGGAGGGGGGACUGGAAUACUUGGUGUAGCAGUGAAAUGCGUAGAUAUCGGGAGGAACACCAGUGGCGAAGGCGGCGAUCUGGGCAGAUACUGACGCUGAGGUGCGAAAGCGUGGGGAGCAAACAGG